rnacentral:rRNA from 1 species
UACGUAGGGGGCAAGCGUUGUCCGGAAUUAUUGGGCGUAAAGCGUACGUAGGCUGUUUGAUAAGUCUGUUGUCAAAGCCCGAGGCUUAACCUUGGAAAGGCAAUGGAAACUGUGAGACUAGAGAGAGAUAGGGGCAGGAGGAAUUCCAGGUGUAGCGGUGAAAUGCGUAGAUAUCUGGAAGAACACCAGUGGCGAAAGCGUCCUGCUGGAUCUCAACUGACGCUGAAGUACGAAAGCUAGGGGAGCGAAUGGG